AUGAACGCUGGCGGCGUGCCUAAUACAUGCAAGUCGAGCGAACGGACGAGAAGCUUGCUUCUCUGAUGUUAGCGGCGGACGGGUGAGUAACACGUGGAUAACCUACCUAUAAGACUGGGAUAACUUCGGGAAACCGUAGCUAAUACCGGAUAAUAUUUUGAACCGCAUGGUUCAAAAGUGAAAGACGGUCUUGCUGUCACUUAUAGAUGGAUCCGCGCUGCAUUAGCUAGUUGGUAAGGUAACGGCUUACCAAGGCAACGAUGCAUAGCCGACCUGAAAGGGUGAUAGGCCACACUGGAACUGAGACACGGUCCAGACUCCUACGGGAGGCAGCAGUAGGGAAUCUUCCGCAAUGGGCGAAAGCCUGACGGAGCAACGCCGCGUGAGUGAUGAAGGUCUUCGGAUCGUAAAACUCUGUUAUUAGGGAAGAACAUAUGUGUAAGUAACUGUGCACAUCUUGACGGUACCUAAUCAGAAAGCCACGGCUAACUACGUG
rnacentral:rRNA from 1 species